AAGGGGUGGGGUUUAUGAUUUAGGGUUUAGGGUUUAGAGUUUAGGGUUUAGGGUUUAGGUUUUAGGGUUUAGAGUUGGGGAGUGGGGGUUUUGGGGAUAAGAUUUCAAAUUUUGAAUAAUAAAAAAAAUUUUAAUUUUUCAAAAGAUAAAAUGCUAUUUUGGUCAUUUUAGUUUUUGAGGGCUAUUUUUGUGACAUAAACUUAGAAAUGUGCUAUUUUGGAGAUUUGUCC
rnacentral:lncRNA from 1 species